rnacentral:lncRNA from 1 species
GGGAGGCCCUCAGGAAACUUACAAUCAUGGCGGAAGGCGAAGGGAAAGCAAGCACCUUCUUCACAAGGAGGCAGGAAAGAGAGUGUGAGGGGGGAAUUGCAAAACACUUUAAACCAUCAGAUCUUGUGAGAACUCCUUCACUGUCACAAGAACAUGUGGGAAACCGCCCCCAUAAUCCAAUCACCUCCCAUCAGGUCCCUCCCUCAACACGUGGGGAUUACAAUUCAAGAUGAGAUUUGAGUGGGCACACAGAGCCAAACCAUAUCAGAAGUAAAGGUGAACUGUAAAGAGAUCUUCAAAUUUUAGUGACUGUCAUUAUAUGAUAGGCUCCUUGAGGGCAGGGACAGUGGGCUUUUGUGUGUGUACCCCUGAGGUGGCUAAAGUGUCUCACACAAAGCAGGUGCAGUGCUUCAGUUUGAAUCAAAUUGAAUGCUUCUCAUGCUUAUUCUUUCCAUAGACAGCUAAAGAAAACAGAGUCACAGAGAGAUGAGAGAUGAAGCCACUGGCCAGGAGCACACUCAGGGAUUCUGUCCCCUGCCUCAGGCUGAGUCCCGCAGUCAAACUCUGUCCCUCUGUGAGGCUGAAAGACAUGGGAGGAGGAGGCUCGUCCAAGGGCCAGCUUUGUCACUCACCUGCUGGGUGACUUUGAGCAAAUCCCUUCCUCCCUCUGGAACUUCAGGAAUCACUUCCUUGUCAUUCACACAGGGUCAAUCUUCACCUUAUAAGUACCCGCGGGUUCUAUAUACCGUCAUUUGAAGAGUAGAACAUGCCUUGCAAGUGUGUUUGCUGCAUCACACGGGUAGAGGCCAAGCUGCAGGCUGCCUUGCAGGCCUGCUUAGACGCUCCUGUGGGUAACCAGGGGCGGUGAUUCAGGGCGUACCAAGUACCUGCGUCAACGUGAUUCGCUUUGAUUUUCCCAGGCCGUGAGAUACUUCAGACAGACACAAUUUCUCCCAGCGACAGGGGAGGAAGCCGAGGCCUUGAGAAGAAUCAUUUUUUGAGCACCAAAAGAAGAAACUGGUGGCGGGGCGCAGUGGCUCACACCUGUAAUCCCAGCACUUUGGGAGGCCGAGGCGGGCGGAUCACCUGAGAUCAGGCAUUCGAGACCAACCUGGCCAACAUGGUGAAACCCCAUCUCUACUAAAAAUACAAAAAUUAGCCGGGCAUGGUGGUGCAUGCCUGAAAUCCCAGCUACUCAGGAGGUUGAGGAGGGAGAAUUGCUUGAACCUGGGGGGCGGAGGUUGCAGUCAGCCGAGAUUGCACCACUGCCCUCCAGCCUGGGUGACAGUGAGACUCCAUCUCAAAAAAAAAAAAAAAAAAAAAAAGAAGAAGAAGAAGAAGAAACUGGCAACUCUGGCAACUCUCCUAAGAGGGAGGAAGAGAGGAGAAAGGACAGGGCAGGGCGGUGACAAGUGUCCUGGAACGGAAAAAGAAAAAAGAAGAAAAAAAUUGCACCUGUGUAGGAGGAGAUGCUGGUGGCCCUUGGAGUGCCCAUGUGAGAGAAGAGCCAGUUCCAGGAUUCCAGUGAGAGCAGCCAGCUCAGCGUGGCUCAGCAGCGGGGGACAGCCGUCUAGGAAUCCCUGCGGAGCACCCCAGAGAAGGAGCUUCACCUCGGGACCUGGGUCUCAUUUUCAGGGACUUCAUCUCCCUGAAAAGCAAUGCUGCAUCAGACACAGAGACGCCCCGACAGAACGGAAAACAAUAUGCACUGUUCAACAUGAAACUCCCAUUCAUCUCACUGCUGCAUGACUUUGCCUAAGAGUUCAGGAUAAAGUAAUGUUUGCAAAUACAUCCUGAAAUUGCUUUUGUGGGUUAGCAUCAUUAGAUUGCAUUAUGCUUUGGGAUUAAAAGCGUUAACUUUGCCAUGUAGCUAUUUCAAAUAGAUCACAAGCUCUUUUUUUUUUUUUUUUGAUGAUCACCACUAUACUAACGAGGAUCAAAUAGACCACAAGUUCUGCAACCCUGUUUAGAUGUUUCUUCAUUUCAUAAAGUAUAGGUACCAAGAAUCUCAGUACCUCCUCCUCUCCCCCCAGACUUUCUCUUGUUAUUCUGGGAUCAAAGGGGCCUCAUGUCCCCUCUGAGGGACCUUACCCCUAUCAAGCAGGCUGGCAAGCGGGAGAACGGAGGCCUGAGAAGCUGCAACACAGCUACACUGAACUCCCCAGCCAAGCCAUGUGCUUGCAUCUGCCCGUCUACUCCAGAGUGUGAGCCAAACAUCUGAGACUGUGAGAAUUCGGAGAGCUGACCCCAGACGUUGGUUCCAGUGUUGGGAGGAACCUGGGAAAAUCAAGGGAUGCUUUGGUCCUGUCAUUGUGACUGACAAGCAAUUAGAGGUGAAUAUCUGUGAAUAUUUGGGGGUUUAGAAUGUACCUGUUGAAAUGAAAUGCCCCUGGGAUAUGAAAUAACUUUAGCUGUUGGCAUCUAAGACAACAGAGGCAGCUGGACGUGGUGACUCACGCCUGUAAUCCCAGCACUUUGGGAGGCCGAGGCGGGUGGAUCACCUGAGAUCACGAGUUUGAGACCAGCCUGACCAACAUGGUGAAACCCCAUCUCUACUAAAUACAAAAAAUUAGCCGGGCGUAGUGGCGCAUGCCUGUAAUUCCAGCUACUUGGGAGGCUGAGGCAGGAGAAUUGCUUGAAUCCGGGAGGCGGAGGUUACAGUGAGCCAAGAUUGCACCAUUGCACUCCAGCCUGGGCAACAAGAGUGAAACUCCAUCUCCCCCCCCACCCCGCAAAAAAAGACAACAGAGGCGUUCAAUCAGUCGGCCGCGGUGAGCAAUGUCCCGUGAGAAUGGGGCCCAAGACAGAAGUCUAGGAAAGGGUGUAUGUGGGCGAGGUAGACACAGAUAGGGGCUGUGGACGGAAGGACUCUAGGACCUGCUUGCAGUCUGUCAUGAGUCUUUGGACUAUUUAUAGCUGGUGACCUCAGAUGAGUCACCCCCAUGAUUCAGUUUCCCCAUUUCUCUGAGAUAUGGAGACAGCAGCUGGUCAGGAAGGGACCCUUUCCCUCCUCUCCGCCUCUCCACCGCCACCACUGCCGUCACCGGCACCCAUGUUCUGCCCACACAGUAGCCCAGGAUGCCAAGGGCUAAAGGCUUGACAUAGACGACACCUAAUGUAAUCUCACAGCCCUGGGACACAGCUCUUGUUAUUGCCUCCACUUUGCAGAAGGGAAAAGUGAGCCUUAUAGAGGCUGAAUAACAUGCCUGAUGUCUACACUGGGGAUGGGUGGAUGUGGGCUGGUGUUCGGGCCACCCUGACUCACACUUGGUUGGCCAGGGCUUCCACUGCUAAAUCCAUCUGGGUCAGGGGCUGGCAACAUUUUCUUCAUCAG